UAUUGCACAAUGGGGGGAACCCUGAUACAGCGACGCCGCGCGAGUGAAGACGGCCUUCGGGUUGUAAAGCUCUGUCAACCGGGACGAAGAAGAUGACGGUACCGAUGAAGGAAGCUCCGGCUAACUGCGUGCCAGCAGCCGCGGUAAUACGUAGGGAGCAAGCGUUGUCCGGAAUUACUGGGUGUAAAGGGAGCGUAGGCGGGAAUGCAAGUUGGAAGUGAAAGGUAUGGGCUCAACCCAUGAACUGUUUUCAAAACUGUAUUUCUUGAGUGAAGUAGAGGCAGGCGGAACUCCUAGUGUAGCGGUGAAAUGCGUAGAUAUUAGGAGGAACACCAGUGGCGAAGGCGGCCUGCUGGGCUUUAACUGACGCUGAGGCUCGAAAGCGUGGGUAGCAAACAGG
rnacentral:rRNA from 1 species